GGUUUUUAGAGAAUAUUAAAAAUUAGGCCUGCUCAAUGAAUUUUAAAUAGCCGCAGUAUUAUGACUGUGCAAAGGUAGCAUAGUAAUUUGUCUUUUAAUUUAGGACUAGAAUGAACGGUUAGACCGAGUAAUUUUGUCUUGGAGUUAUAUUUUGAACUUUAUGUUUUAGUAAAAAAGCUAAAAUUUAUUUCAGGGACGAGAAGACCCUGUCAAACUUUACAAGUUAAUCUUUCUCUCUUAAGAUAGAGUAAACUUGUUUUGCUGGGGCAGCAAGUAAUAAAAUUUUACUUAUUUAUUGUGAAUCUAUUUCUUUAAAAAUCAGGAAUUUCCUAAAUAAAAAUAAGUUACUGCAGGGAUAACAGCGUAAUUCUUUUUUAGAGUUCUUAUCGAUACAAGAGUUUGCGACCUCGAUGUUGGAUUAAAAUUCCUUCCCCACGCAAUAGUGGGGGAAGGAAGUCUGUUCGACUUUUGAAAUUUUCCA
rnacentral:rRNA from 1 species